rnacentral:tRNA from 1 species
AUUUAAAUAGUUUAUUAAAAACAUUACAUUUUCAUUGUAAAAUUAUACCUCUAGUAUUUUAAAUA